AUUGAACGCUAACGGCAUGCUUAACACAUGCAAGUCGAACGGCAGCACAGCAGUAGCAAUACUGUGGGUGGCGAGUGGCGGACGGGUGAGUAAUGUAUAGGAAUCUGCCUUGUAGUGGGGGAUAACCUGGGGAAACUCGGGCUAAUACCGCAUAAUCUUUACGAAGCAAAGCGGGGGAUCGUAAGACCUUGCGCUAUAAGAUGAGCCUAUAUUGGAUUAGCUAGUUGGUGGGGUAAAGGCCUACCAAGGCGACGAUCCAUAGCUGGUCUGAGAGGAUGAUCAGCCACACUGGGACUGAGACACGGCCCAGACUCCUACGGGAGGCAGCAGUGGGGAAUAUUGGACAAUGGGGGAAACCCUGAUCCAGCAAUGCCGUGUGUGUGAAGAAGGCCUUCGGGUUGUAAAGCACUUUUAGUGGGAAAGAAAAGCUCAAGGCUAAUAACUUUGAGCCUUGACGUUACCCACAGAAAAAGCACUGGCUAACUCUGUGCCAGCAGCCGCAGUAA
rnacentral:rRNA from 1 species